GCUCUUCUAGUAUACUAAUUACAAUUGACUUCCAAUCUCUAAAAUCUGGAUCAAACCCAGAGAAGGGCA
rnacentral:tRNA from 1 species